UCUGGAUAUUUCAUAUACAUAUAAUCCCUAAAAUAAAUGUCUAGGAGCAGACAUCUUGAACUACGCACGACAGGAAAUUUAUCUUCGAUUUUAAAUUAAAGGUUAAGUAAUAAGUCAAGUUAUUUAAGAGAAGAAAGGAAAAAACAAACGAAGAAGAAGAAUUUAUGCUAUAAAAAAUUCUACCCUAACCUAUUUUUCAAAAAUAUUAAUGGAUAUUAAAUAGAAUUUAAAGAUUGAUAUUGAAUGGACCUAGGUAACAAGAGAUAACAAUCUCUGCAGUAAUGUCUUUUCCCAACAAAGAAGACAGACAACGUUGUUGGGGAGCAAGGGAUAGGUAUUGGGAAUGUUUAGAUAAAGUUGGUGAAGGAGAUCAGCAUCCAUGUGCUGAGCUCAGAAAGUUGUAUGAAAAUUCUUGUAGUUCACAAUGGAUCAAACAUUUUGAUAGAAGAAGAUCCUAUUUGGUAUUUAAGAAUAAAGUAGAAAAUGAGGGAUAUGAACCGUUAACUGAAAGUAAUAAAACAACAUGAUGAUAAUUUGUAUUAGAUAUAUAUUUAUGUUCAUGUCUAUUAUGUCAAAAUGGUUCAUUAUAUUCUCCAUACUUAAUACUCUUGAUUACAGAUAGAAGAAAGGAUAUGAUAGAUAUGGAAAAAAUGUUCAAUGUUCCAAAAAUUCUCAUUUAGAAAUGAAAUUUCCUUCUCAUGAAAUAUAUUUGCAAAUCUUCA